GCGUACGGGUGAGUAACACGUGGAUCAUCUACCCUCUAGUGGGGAAUACCGUUGGGAAACCGACGACAAUACCGCAUAAGCUCGAGAGAGGAAAGCAGCAAUGCGCUGGAGGAGGAGUCCGCUGGUCGAUUAGUUAGUUGGCAGGGUAAAAGCCUACCAAGACUGUGAUCGAUAGCCUGGCCUGAGAGGGCACACGGCCACACUGGCACUGAAACACGGGCCAGACUCCUACGGGAGGCAGCAGUGGGGAAUCUUGCACAAUGGAGGAAACUCUGAUGCAGCGACGCCGCGUGAGCGAUGACGCCCUUCGGGGUGUAAAGGCUCUUUCGGCAGGGAAAGAUAAUGACGGUACCUGCAGAAGCAGCUGCGGUUAACUACGUGCCAGCAGCCGCGGUAAUACUGUAGGCAGCAAGCGUUGUCGGAGUUACUGGGCGUAAAGGGUGCGUAGGCGGGCUUUUUAAGUUUGGUGUGAAAUCUCCCGGCUCAACUGGGAGGGUUGCGCCGAAUACUUGAAGAGGCUAGAGUGUGGGAGAGGAAAGUGGAAUUCCUUGGUGUAGCGGUGAAAU
rnacentral:rRNA from 1 species